GUCUAGCUCAGUGGUAGAGCAUUCGACUGCAGAUCGAGAGGUCCCCGGUUCAAAUCCGGGUUUUCUCUUCAGGGAAAUG